CCUUGUACACACCGCCCGUCACACCAUGGGAGUUUGCUGUACCGGAAGCCGGUAAUCCAACCCGCAAGGGAGGUAGCCGUCCAUGGUAUGGCCGAUGACCGGGGUG
rnacentral:rRNA from 1 species